CCGAGUUGCCCUUGCUGCAUCCGUUAACAUUCAUUUUAGUUUCUCCAAGCACAAGUUUGAUCCAUUUGGCUGGUUGUUUUUAUGCAUCAUAUUAUGUUAUACAUUGUAAUGUAUUAUUUGAUGUACAAUCUCCAUUUUAAUAGAGCUUUAAGCUCCAUUUUAAUGAAGGAAAUUGAACGGGAAUGGGGGAGGGAGGUGUUGGAUGGGAUGGGGGUGGGGAGGUAGGGUGGGGUCAUAAAUAAAAAUGAAGUUUAAAGCUCUAUUAAAAUGGAGAUUGUACAGGAGCUUUAAGCUCCAUUUUAAUGGAGGAAACAGGACGCGGGGGGAGGAGGAGCUGUUGGACCUGGAAAAAUAUUUGACACGUGGCAGCACCUGAUUGGUGCGUGCAUUCACUCUCUCUAUUGUGACUGAGAUUCAGCGAAAAAUGAUGUAUUUACAAUGAAAUAAAGAAGAAUCAUGGGGUAAUAGAUCAAAGUUAGAGUUUAGGUAUCUUUUUGCAAAACUCGGACAAGAUCAGGAGGUAAUUAUGUAUUUACUCUUAUUUUAAUGAAUUGCGUAUUUUGAUGAAGUGUAUCAUUUUUUAUAGUUUCAUAAUAUCAUGCAUCAUCAUAUGAAUAAUACACUUAUAUUAUUGUAAAAGAAAAAGUAAAGUAUGAUGUAGAAUUUUUUAAAAAAAAAAAAACUAUAUAAAGUAGGAUAAAAAUAAAGUAUAUAGAUUUAUUAAAUAAUAAGCUUAAGAUAACAACAUAUCAUACUAAAUCAAUCAUUACAUAACAUGACACACAUAUAUAUAACAAUGAAUUUUAAUAAAGAAAAACUUACAUAAAUCCCAACACUUUAAGACCUAACUAUUUUCUAUCCUUUCUCUUAACUAAAUUAUAAUAAAUUUUAAUUUUUCUUUAUCCAGAUAGAUAACUAACGCGUCUGAUACAUCACUGUCGCCGAUACAGUAUUAACCAAUUAGGAGAGAUAAAAGUGAAAAAUAGCAAAAAUUUGUUCAAUUAUGAAAAAAUCACUACCCACAACUCGAACUUCGUCCAAAUACACCAAUUUUUUUCUCCAUUAACACACACUAGCAGAACACUCCCUCCGUUUCAAAAAUCACAAGAGUCGACAUCGAAUCAAACUCCAUCUCUGGCAAAUUUACAUCAUCGGAGCAACCAUAACAGCUCCAAAACCACCGUAAGCUCUAACCUGUUAAACUCUUCACCACCAAUCACUAUUUUGGUUGAAUCCCAUAUUCAAAAAUCAAUAAUUAUCUCUUCUUCGUCGAAAAGCACAUAACGUCACCAUCACUAUCACUCCAACCAACCAACCGGUGAAACACCACUAUCUACCUAAAUUUACAGGCAAGUCUAUCAAAAAUAAUUACUACAAUCGAUACAUAAUUCUUAUGUAUCAAUAAUAUAGAUCUCAUUUUGAUACAUAAGUCUUAUAUAUCAUUAACACAAAAAAAUAUUUCGAUACAUAAUUUUUGAGAUAUUUUCACGAGAUACUAUCUCAUACAUAAUUCUUAUAUAUCAGUAACACAUAUCUCAUUUGAUACAUAAGCCGUAUGUAUCUACAAUACAAAAAAAUACCUCGAUUAAUAAUUUUUUUGUCAUUAUAAUGUAUCUCAUUUGAAUAAACCUCAAGUAUCUCAAUAUCGUCAUCGUUAUCCGUAGAUCAAGAAGCAGCAAAUAUCUCCUCCUCAAUUCGCCUUGCAACAUCAAAACUGAAUCGAUUUUUGCCAUUGAUGGUGGUGGUGCGGUGGUGUUGGUGGUUGGGGUUUGGGUAUUCUAAAAGUUUUUGUUGUUGAUGGUGGAAAAUUUGAUGAACAGAGUUUAUGGAGAAGAAGAUGAAAACUAUUAAAGAACAAGACCCAAUUGCUCCACAUUUCGUGCAUUAAAUGCCAAAUAAAAUAUGUGAAAGCAACUAGGUGGUGGCGGAGGAAAAGGGAUGAGAAAUCGUUUUCUUGAAAAAGUAAGAAAAAAAAGUCAAGAAAUUUCUCCCACAAAUCUCAAGCCUAAAGAGAAAUUAAAUAUAAAAGAAGAAGCAGUAAAUAAGAAAAUAGGCGGAUCUUUAUGCGAGAAAAAAUGGUGCCUUCUUUUCCUUUUGUGUUUUAUCCGAUGUUAUAAGAGAAAAAAAGUAAAUGAGG
rnacentral:lncRNA from 1 species